rnacentral:rRNA from 1 species
UAAUCUUUUUUUUUGUAUUUAUUGGUAUUGCAUAUCAUUUUUGGAUGUUGACAUUAUUAUGUAGAAUAGAAAGGUGAGGUAGAGGCUGUUUGUUUUUAUUGUUGCACAAUAAAAAUUAGGGCUGUUUGGUGUUGAAAUGUCGUCUUGUCUUUUAUCUGUGUUAUGGGUACUUAUUAGAAAAUUGUAAGAUUUGUUGUAUUGUUUGGAGUUUUAGAUUUUGUAGUGUUCUUUGUUUUAUGUUUUAUAACGUUUUCUUUUUGUAGUUUUGUUGUUUUUUUUAUUAUUAAUUUAUUAAUAAUUUUAUAGUUUAGAAUUUAGUAAUUUUUUAAACUUUGUUUUUUGUUGGAAUUUUUUUUUGUAAACUUGAGUUUUGAUCAAAUGUUUUUUAAAGACUUAGGUCUCUUUGUGUGGCUGGCCUCUGCUCUAUGUUUUAGAUAAAUGGCAGUCUUAGCGUGAGG